UUCGCUUACCUUAGGCUUACAAAAUGCGAGCUUUUUUCUAGUGUUGUUCAAUCUAUAAUACCUCUCGACAACCCCAUAUAUUGAAAAUGAUUUAAAAAUAUUACAUAUUAUGAUUAUUACAAAGUCAAAGAUAAAAUUUCACAAAAAGUAUCAUAAACAUAAAAUUAUAUCUAUUAAUAAUUUGUUUCAUCAUAGGAUUAAGUUCUUUGUGUAACUAACAUAAUGUAAUUACCAAAAAAAUACUUUCAGGACGAUGCC
rnacentral:lncRNA from 1 species